GAGAUAUCUUUAAGGUCUCUUCCAACCCAAACCAUUCUAUGACCUUUUCUUGCUUUACUACAUUCCUGUGAGAAAGUCGAAGUUCUUACCUACUGGGACAGAUGGAGUCACUGCAUCAGUAAGGAAACCUGGGCAGGUCACAGCAGUUCUGCAUCAUGUGACAAAGACGACACACACCUCAGAUGUCUGUGCCACUAUGGAGCUGCUCUCUCACGUUGUGCUGAAAAGCUCCAGCUCUUUCCCUGACAAUACCUCAGGCACUUUUCUCUGCUGUUGCUUUUCCUCAGACUCACGGCAUCACCCAGAACCUCCUAAGAAUGCCACCAAAAGAGGCAAGCAGUGAAGAUCCACUAGUGCUUUUAGGUAAACGUUGAUGGAGUUGAGAACUUUCCUGAACCUACUCGAGAGGCAACCAAUCGACACAGCACCACGGGGCCUCGUGUGUCCAGGGGGAAAAAUCCAGAGGACUGGAUCACAGAAAAUGCAGUAGCUUGUCAAAUUCCAGAAAUGUUCCCACGUUAAUUGCAAGCCCCUUUGCCAUCUUAUUUCUGCAAAAUGUGACAUAUUUAAACAUUGCCAAAGAAUGCACUUCUUAAAUGUCAGUAUGUUUUUAGGAAACACAAAGGCUGCAAGAUGUAUGUCAAAACCCCAGGUUCCCUAGAUGGGGGACGCCACAGAAAAUCUUUCCCCAAAGAAGCUUCGGAAAUUUCAGUCUGAUACGUGGUAAUAAUGCAACUAUGUGACAGCUCUUGAGAAUGCUGUCAUUGCCAGCCCUGUUUGGACUGGACUGUGUCAGACAACCACAGACUGAAAAAGCAGUGGUCAGCCUUGCUUGCUCUCAUGUACUUUAAUUAGGCAGUCAUGAGAGGAACCAACACCUACUCAAAAAUUUACCCUCUUGUUGCCAUGUCUUUAAGCCUGCAAUUCCCAAAUAAUCCCCACAUGUGAAAAGGUAAAAAAAAAAACGCAAACUCCUGUUUGCUUUGCUUGAGGCUUGGGAAAUAUGAACUUUUAUCAUUCUGCUGAGCAGCUGGUGACAGCAGAACUAAAAUGCCAAAGAGGUAGAUAGUGGGAGUUUUACAGCAUGCCUGUUUACGUUGCCUCAUCUCCUUUGUGCUAGAUUCCUCUGUAGCACAUCCUGUCCAUUUGUCACCAAGAAAUAAGAUAUAGUGACCAAGAGAAAGUUGCUUCAAGUGAAGGAUUAAUUUCAUACCAUGUAAGAAAGAUGCCUAUUGAUACUGCAUGAGAGGAACACUUAUCAUGCUGAUGAAUUUCAUGUAGCUGAUAGUGUCAGGCACCAAAGAUUCAGUUUCAGCAUUGCAUCCUCUGCAACUCUUGCAAGGUCUGAGGCCCAGUUGAACACCAGCACACUUUCAAGUUGAAGCGUUGUUUCAUUGGAUGGCAUGGGAAGUUUGAAUCCUCACUAUUCUGUGUAAGGUUCAAAUCCUCAGUCAUUCUGUAGUAGCCCUGAUGAGAUGUAGAAUAGACAGUGAGGUUCCAAAGGCUUCCAGUUGUUAUAUAUCAAUAGCUGUUACACUGUGAAGAGAAAAAUAAUGUUUUCAUUAUUGCUAAAUGGAUCUUUAACUUAUGGGUACUAAAUGUCCUAAAAGGUAAGGAAUUUUUUUGUGCUCCACCUCCAUGAAGGGCAAAGUACAAGCAUUUUCAGAACUUUCCAUGGGAGGAAAAAUAUUGUUAAUAUCUUCUCAAUUUGGCAGCAGCAGCAGUGUACCUACACAACCCCUACUGAUGGAUUAGACCAAGAACAAGACUAGAUGACAUGCUGGAUGCCUUCAGGUAGACGGAUUUCUGCAAAAGCACGUCAAUUUUUAUAAGGAAUACAUUUCUGCAAGUAUUGCUAAACUGUAAAAAAAAAUAUCUCUGUGACCAAGAGUUCAACUCAAAAUUCAUGCAAGCAAAAUUUCAGCUGCUGCUGCACACAGUUCAUGGGCUGUUAACAUCAUUAGAAUCCCAGAGAGCACUGCUUUGUCAACAGUGUUAUUAGCAGCCACAGAGCCAAAGUACAGUCAGUGGUUCAGUGUUGCAAGAGUGGAAGAAGUUACGGCUAAUAUGUCACACAGCGGAUGGGAAACAAGCUGUGCAGAGUAAGAUUUGCUGAAGAUUUGUGGUUCCUGAGUGAUCUGCUAAAAACAACUUCAAGCAAGUUCUGCUCCCCAGCUGAACUGCAGCAACCAUGCUCCACACAGCAGUUUCAGGUAAAUCCUUGGGCCACAUCCCCAGCCUCUGCAGCCGCAUACGCCUUGGAACCAUAGCAGAUGCUUGUCUUCUUGCAUGCCAGGUUAUCUUCUGCCGUCGGCAUCAUUUGGGGGCUUUGCCUACGACUCUCCAGAGUUGUAUGUCGCUCUUCUCUUGUCCUCAUGCUCACUCAGCCAUGCUGAAUUAUCUUCCACUCCUCCCUCUGGGAAUAACUAAGGCUUUGACCCAGCGGGACUGGUUGUGUGCUUAAAUGCUUUGAUGGACCAGACACUGAGCUGCUUGCUCCCAAAUCUAAGAAACUCUUGCAUCUGCACAAGAAAGCAACAACUUCUUCCACUAUGCAAGAGGAUGCUGACAACUCAAUUUUGGUCAGUUACUGCCAAACUCAACUUGCAACAGUCAACUCAUGUCAGAAUAGAAAGGGAUUUUUUAUGUCAAGGCUUGCCACAUGCAAAUCCUUUCUUUUGAUCCUCUAAUCAGUGUGAAAUCUGUAAAGUAAUUUGUAGGAAACAAGAACUGGGUUUAUCGACAGCUGUAUUAGAAACAAGAGAAAAUGAGAUGCAGAAAGGUGUUCCAGACCACAGUCUUUCAUUCCUGUGAUAGUUCAUUUUCAAAGUGGUACUGGCAUAAGCCAAAAUAUCUGCCUGCAUUGCUUGAAAAGCAAUAAGGUUCCCAUUCCAGGAACAGAAGGUCUUGAUCCAGUCACGGUGCAGCUGGAUGAUGCAACGAUUGCUAAAUAGAAAAGUGAUGGCAG